rnacentral:siRNA from 1 species
UAUAGUCAGCGAGACCACAUAGGU